GGCAGACGGGUGAGUAAUGCAUAGGAAUCUGCCUAGUAGUAUGGGAUAGCCACUAGAAAUGGUGGGUAAUACUGUAUAAUCCCUGCGGGGGAAAGAUUUAUCGCUACUGGAUGAGCCUAUGUUAGAUUAGCUAGUUGGUGGGGUAAUGGCCUACCAAGGCUGUGAUCUAUAGCUGGUCUGAGAGGAUGAUCAGCCACACUGGAACUGAGACACGGUCCAGACUCCUACGGGAGGCAGCAGUGGGGAAUAUUGGACAAUGGGCGCAAGCCUGAUCCAGCUAUGCCGCGUGAGUGAGGAAGGCCUUAGGGUUGUAAAACUCUUUCAGCAGGGAAGAUAAUGACGGUACCUGCAGAAGAAGUCCCGGCAAACUCCGUGCCAGCAGCCGCGGUAAUACGGAGGGGGCAAGCGUUGUUCGGAAUUAUUGGGCGUAAAGGGCAUGUAGGCGGUUUGGUAAGUUAAAGGUGAAAUGCCA
rnacentral:rRNA from 1 species